GCUUUUGGUUCAGUGGUAGAAUGCUCGCCUGCCACGCGGGCGCCCCAGGUUCCCGGCAGAUGCA